UACGAGGGGAGCUAGCGUUGUUCGGAAUCACUGGGCGUAAAGGGAGCGUAGGCGGUGAGGUAAGUCAGACGUGAAAUCCCGGGGCUCAACCCCGGAACUGCAUCCGAUACUGCCAUGCUAGAGGAUUGGAGAGGUAGCUGGAAUUCUUGGUGUAGCAGUGAAAUGCGUAGAGAUCAAGAGGAACACUCGUGGCGAAAGCGAGCUACUGGACAAUUCCUGACGCUGAGGCUCGAAGGCUAGGGUAGCGAAAGGG
rnacentral:rRNA from 1 species